rnacentral:rRNA from 1 species
CAUGGUUGUCGUCAGCUCGUGUCGUGAGAUGUUGGGUUAAGUCCCGCAACGANCGCNACCCUUGAUCUUAGUUGCCAGCAUUCAGUUGGGCACUCUAAGGUGACUGCCGGUGACAAACCGGAGGAAGGUGGGGAUGACGUCAAAUCAUCAUGCCCCUUAUGACCUGGGCUACACACGUGCUACAAUGGACAGAACAAAGGGCAGCGAAACCGCGAGGUUAAGCCAAUCCCACAAAUCUGUUCUCAGUUCGGAUCGCAUUCUGCAACUCGACUGCGUGAAGCUGGAAUCGCUAGUAAUCGCGGAUCAGCAUGCCGCGGUGAAUACNUUCCCGGGCCUUGUACACACCGCCCGUCACACCACGAGAGUUUGUAACACCCGAANUCG